rnacentral:rRNA from 1 species
UACAGAGGUCUCAAGCGUUGUUCGGAUUCAUUGGGCGUAAAGAGCUCGUAGGCGGUUCGUCGCGUCGGCUGUGAAAACCCGGAGCUCAACUCCGGGCCUGCAGUCGAUACGGGCGGACUUGAGUGUUGGCAGGGGAGACUGGAAUUCCUGGUGUAGCGGUGGAAUGCGCAGAUAUCAGGAGGAACACCGAUGGCGAAGGCAAUCCCCUGGGCCUGCACUGACGCUCAUGCACGAAAGCGUGGGGAGCAAACAGG